UGGUGGUCACUUCGCGACGUUCA
rnacentral:snRNA from 1 species